ACACGCAUGACACACUGCAUAUCAAUAAGCGGAGGAAAAGAAACUAACUAAGGAUUCCCUCAGUAACGGCGAGUGAAGCGGGAAGAGCUCAAAUUUGAAAUCUUCAAGGUUUUACCUUGACGAAUUGUAGUUUAAAGAAGUGUUUUCUGUUGGAGUUUCGGUAAAAGUUCUUUGGAAUAGGACAUCAUAGAGGGUGAGAAUCCCGUAUUUGACCAUUACUUUCCAGCUGUGUGAUACACUUUCAAAGAGUCGGAUUGUUUGGGAAUGCAGUCCAAAAUGGGUGGUAAAUUUCAUCUAAAGCUAAAUAUUGGCGAGAGACCGAUAGCGAACAAGUACCGUGAGGGAAAGAUGAAAAGAACUUUGAAAAGAGAGUUAAACAGUACGUGAAAUUGUCAAAAGGGAAGCGUUUGACACCAGUGUUGUUUUCUCGAAAAUCAAUUAAAAAUGAUGGGAUUUUGUGUUGUAUUGACUUUAUCAGCUUUCUGCACUUUUUUCUUAUCUUUUUUAAUGCACUUUUCGUUUAACAAGUCAACAUCAAUUUCUUUUGUUGUAAAAGAGUCAUUGGAAGGUGGCUUUUUCUUCGGAAAAAGUGUUUAUAGCCUUUGGCUUCUGCAAUCGGAGAGAUUGAGGUCUGCAGCGUAGAUCCUUCGGGGUUAGAUACAUUUGUGCUAAGCUAUAGUUCUUUAUAGACAACUUGUUGACUAUAAUCAAUCCUGUAACUUACUCGCUUAUGCUAUUUACCUACGCUUAGGAUGUUGACUGAUAUGUAGUCGUA
rnacentral:rRNA from 1 species